rnacentral:tRNA from 1 species
GGGGCAUUAGCUCAGCUGGGAGAGCACCUGCUUUGCAAGCAGGGGGUCAGCGGUUCGAUCCCGCUAUGCUCCACCA